rnacentral:rRNA from 1 species
GAUGAACGCUGGCGGCAGGCUUAACACAUGCAAGUCGAGCGGAGUGAUGGUGCUUGCACUAUCACUUAGCGGCGGACGGGUGAGUAAUGCUUAGGAAUCUGCCUAUUAGUGGGGGACAACAUUUCGAAAGGAAUGCUAAUACCGCAUACGUCCUACGGGAGAAAGCAGGGGAUCUUCGGACCUUGCGCUAAUAGAUGAGCCUAAGUCGGAUUAGCUAGUUGGUGGGGUAAAGGCCUACCAAGGCGACGAUCUGUAGCGGGUCUGAGAGGAUGAUCCGCCACACUGGGACUGAGACACGGCCCAGACUCCUACGGGAGGCAGCAGUGGGGAAUAUUGGACAAUGGGCGCAAGCCUGAUCCAGCCAUGCCGCGUGUGUGAAGAAGGCCUUAUGGUUGUAAAGCACUUUAAGCGAGGAGGAGGCUACUGAAGUUAAUACCUUCAGAUAGUGGACGUACUCGCAGAAUAAGC